CCCACACCCACGAUUCAUUCCCACCUUCAUCUGCCACGGUUCUUCCCCCGAUCCACUUUUUGGCCGCGCCAGCGCCGCCCGCACCCAUCCACCUUCUUCCCUCGCCGGCGCCGCCCUCCAUCGACUCACCUUCUUCCCCCGCCGGUGCCGCCCUCCAUCGACCCACCUUCUUCCCCUGCCGGCGCUGCCCUCCCCCAUCCACAUUCUUCCCCGCCGGCCCCACCCUCCCCUGAUCCACCUUCUUCGCCCGCCUGCCCCUAUCCACAUUCUUCCCCGCCGGCCCCGCCCUCCCCUUAUCCACCUUCUUCCCCCGCCGGCCCCGAUCCACCUUCUUCAACCGUAGGCACCGCCCCACCCGUAUCCGGCUUCUUCCCCCGUCGGCGCCGCAGUUGGCCACACCUCCCAGUGCCCUCAGCUUGGUCGCGCGUUGCCCCUGCCCGGCGUCACCCAUCCCCCAUGCCUGGAUCCGCAGCUCGUCCUCGAUCUAUAUCAAGCCGGCUUCCGGACCACUUCUCCUGGCCUACCUCCCCUCCGCUUCUGCCACGGGACGGCGACCGGCCAUAGCGACGACGGGCUUUGACUCUCUCGCUUGCCAUCCGUAGCGAAGGCCACCUCCUCCCCCGCACAGCCCAGGUGCAGUUCAGUAGCCACUAGCUGGAGGGACAGAGGAGUGCAUAGCCAGAUCCUCCUCCUCUUUGCAGAACCAGCGCUCGCAGGUCUAGCUAACACUGCUUCCUCCCUCCUCUCUGGUGGCCGGCCGCCCCACCGACAUUGAGGCCCCCCCUGUUGUCUAGGAUGACCGCCACCGCAGCUCGAGCAAAGAUCCGAGGAGUGCAUAGCCAGAUCCUCCUCCUGUUUGCAUCACGAUCCAAUUCAAUUUUGGUUUUGUUUUUAGUGUUAUGCAGUUCGAUUCAAUGUUUAUGUGCGUUUAACAUUUGACUUUUUCUCAGGAGAGAACUGCAAAAAAAUAAGGAAUGGCUCCGCCCUUGGUUCACAAUCUCUCCGGUGGGUCUCCGUUGAGCAGUUCUCCUCACACGCAGGGCCUCCCAACGACAAGAACCAGCGACCUAACUUCCUCCCAUUCAAGACUGUGCAAUUCGUUUAGUUUUUAGGCUCUUGGAUGCAGUUCGUUAUUUGAAAAAAGCCCAAACCUCACUUCGUUUGGUUUCUCCUCAAUGGAGCGGCCCUGGGUUUCAUUUUGAUAAAUUAUGCAGUUUGUGUGUAUGUGAAGUCCUCUGUUUAUAUUUGAGAGGUUCGUUCAACUCUGUAGUGUCGUUCUAUUUAUUUGAUGAAGUCCUUUUUGUUUUGCAAAUUCUCAGGGACAAGAGACUGUAAUCUGCUGGUGCUUUCGUCGUGGCAGUAACACCAACAGAAUGAGAGAAAGGGCCUUGAGCCACUAUGCGGGGGGAGCACCACAUCUUUGGUCAGACCAGUAAGAGGCCAAGGCAAAUGGCAGCUAACCUCGCCAUUGGGGACAUGAACCGAGCUGGGCAUGCACAUAGACAACUUGUAUCAUCAUGGUUCCAAAACAAGAGGGAAACCCAUCCAACAUUAUUACGAGGCAAGAGUAGAACAAGGAUUACUUACCGACAAUUGCGACAGCGUAGAAGGGAAGCUGAUGAACAUCCUUCGCUAGUUCCGAGCAAAGACGGGGAGGAGAUCACCACCACACAUGACUAGCUAGAGGAGUGCAAGUGAAGCAACCAACCAUGAGAAGUCCUUCAUGUUGUCGCAGCAGUGCAGUUGACUUGCAGCAGUGCGUUUGUUGUGGCUGUGCAGCUCGGGCGUGCAGUCCACUGUUUGACUUUUUUGUUUUGUGUUUUGGAGGUGGUCACGGUCCGUGGGGUAUAUGGGCGUGCAGUACGCCGCUGGGGUGUGAUCUAGUGCAGCUCGGCUAGCCCACAAUUGCGGUUCGGUGGCUUGUGUGUGAAGAUUUUUUUGUAUUUUUUCUUUGGUUCGGACGAGAUGAUUCACUAUCAGGUUCACUUUGGUCACCAUCCAAAAAAACUGAACCCUCUUGCUGCAGUACACUUUGUUGUUGUAAAAAGAAAAAAAUAUAUAUUUAUGAAGUGCACUUUGAUUC